UCUCCUUUCAGGUAGUUGUAGAGUGAUAAGGUCACACCUGAUCCUCCUUUUCUCCAGAAGAAACAACCCCAGCUCCCUCGGCUGCUCCUCAUAAGACUCAUGCUCCAUGCUCUCCCCCAGCUCUGUUACUCUGCUCUGGAGAUGUUCCAACACUUCAAUGUAGUAGUGAGGGGCCCAAAACCGAGCACAGGAUUUGAGGUGCAGCCACAGCAGUGUUAUGCCUUCUGAAGAGACUGAGAAACAGAUGACUUAUGGGGAGCAAGAGAAUAUUUUUACUGCAUAAUUUGGGUUGAUGUCUACAUUGCACACGUGAGGCACAGUGGAAAUGCUGACUACUGCCGAAAUGCGCCAGCUCAUGGAGUGCAUGGCGGUGUAGCUCCGUGUGAUUCAAUGCAGGGCAAUAGCAUUUGGAACAACCUGCGGCUGGAAUAUGUGUGAGCAGAAAGAAGCAGCAUCCAUCACUUAAACACUGACUUGGGUUUUUCUCUCAGCUAUUAUAACACUUCAAGGAUUGUGCUUGCUAACAACUUGCUUCCCAGAGCACCAGUUUUCACACAGCAAAUGCUGACGUAGACCUCUCUCGCCUACGCAGGAAGACCAUAAUGUUAUGAACAGUAUAUAUAAACAGUAACACGCAACUGUGGUUGUAGCGCAAAGCCUACCUACCAGGGUGAAAUCAGAGGCUCCCUGUGCUGGGCAUUGUAUGAAGGAAGAACUUGUUCAAGGUGAUUUCUGCCUCAGUUCUCACAGGCUAAAUAUGGAGAGGCAAAGUGUGCUGAUGGGAUAGAAGCUCUUUUCUUGCCAUAUGCUCUAGAUCCUAUUUUUUAGUCUGUGACAUGGUAUAGAAACAUUGAAGCAUGAAGAACUGUGAGGAUUAAGGAGGUUGUAAAUCAGACUUUAAAGAACUGAAAAGAUAACCUAAUUGGUUAGGUGGAACCUCAAUGAGGUACUUUAUUUUUGUUUUGUAGUGCAUGGAGCCAGUUUACUCAAGAUCAAUAAGGUAUCAUUUAUGGCUAGCAUAUACAGUGGUUUCAGAAGAUAAAAGACGUUUGAUUGAAGAAGUUGCUCUGCGUAAAGAAAUCAAUGUGUCAAUUUUAAUAGUACUAAAUUAUUGCAAAAAAUUCUUGGAUACAAGCUUUCAAAGUGCCAGGCUGGGAAAAUGGUACCUUUCCUUACCCUAGCACUUGCACCUUGAUGUAGAGAGAUGUAUUUUGUUAUCCCCAUUGCCAAAGAACAGAGAUGUAAGAGCAGGUUUACAUGAUGCUAUCACUGAUCUCACUUUUGGACUCAGUAAAUUAAAAUGGAAAUGAGUGCAUGGAUGAUCUUAGCUCUUUAUAUUUUUUUAGAAUGAUAGAUACCCAACUUGAAUUUUUUUGAAAGUCAAACUCAAAUUUUGUGUUUAGAAGAUAUGAAAAUAUUUGUGCCAAGUAGGACAAGAAACAGCAAGAAAGGCUGCAGAUUACUCCAGAAUAAGCAGUAGUAAAUGCAUUUUACUAGGAUUGGGAUGGUAUAGACCUGCCUUAUUUCAGGAUUGAAUUCAGCAAUACAAUUUUAUUUUGAUUUUGCUCCAGCUAUGCUGUGCAGAGAUAGAUUUGGAGCUGACAUACGUCUCAAAGCUAAGUAUAUAAACAUAACAAGUUUGUCUUUGCCUUUCUAGACAAACAAUUCUGGAGACUCAGAAUUCUCCUGUGAGGUUCCUAGAUCCCUGUCUUGGGACUGCAGACACAGUGGUUAGGUGGACUUAAGGGUUAUUGAUAUGUUUAAAAGGAAAAUAUAUUCUACUUCUUUUGAUUGUGCUUAGGGAUGACUCCUAGUACUAAGGGGAAUGACAAAGCCAUAUUCAUGUUUAUGGUGCUGAAGUUAUCUUAACUAGCCUAAUAGCAAAAUAUUACACUCUUAUUACACUGCUAUCUUCUUUCCUGUGAUAUAAACAAUUUUAUUUACACAUCAGAAAGGAAAGGGCUUGUUUGUCUAGUUACAACCCUUUAAAAAUGCCUUAAGGAGUCCCUUCCUUGCUGAAGUGAAUGUUCAAUGCAUUUGCUCUUUGUGCCAUGGCAACACGUGCUUUCAGCUUCCAGGAAUGUGUUCUACUCCCUCGGUGUCAGUUGUGUCAGCACCACCUGGAAAAUAACCAGCAUCCUUGGAGACUGUAAACUGAACAGGGGAGCACCAUAGAGCUUGUGUGAUUGCAUUUUGUGUUCGGAUAUGUGAUAAAGAUCACCCAGGAACGGCUUGUUAAGUCAUAGUUGUAUGAUAUUCAGUGAUACAAGUUGCUACCCGUGAGAUUUGACCCAAAUGAGAGCACAGAAAAAGUAUUUGCUGCUUGUUAUGUUUCAACAAUAGAAAUAUGACUGAAAAUUGAUGAUAGUAGAACUGUAAGACUGAGCUCUGUUUUUCUUGUUUUC